rnacentral:rRNA from 1 species
UUCGACAACGGAUCUCUUGGCUCUCGCAUCGAUGAAGAACGCAGCGAAAUGCGAUAAGUAAUGUGAAUUGCAGAAUUCAGUGAAUCAUCGAAUCUUUGAACGCACCUUGCGCCCUUUGGUAUUCCGAGGGGCAUGCCUGUUUGAGUGUCAUU